rnacentral:lncRNA from 1 species
UUUUUUUUUUUUUUUUUUUGGUAACUAAGCAAUCUGAUCUGUUUGAAAUUGAUGCUUAUCUUGAUCGAAUGGACCAAAUAUGUCAUGUCUGGCAAGUUAGUCGUUGGGAUUCACAUGCACAUCCAUACAUGUCCUAGCGUUAGAAUAGGCAUUUAUACUAGAAAUUUUUUUUAAAGUUUUAUCGAAAAAAUUUUGAAAUUUUAAUCGGUACGUACUUAUGUAUGUAUGUAUGUAUACACAAGAUAAAUGCAAUAUUAAUAUAAGGGAUGAAAAAAUUCAUUUAAGAUAAAAGAAUCAAAAGUUACAUGGUAGUUUAUCGGCUUCAAAAGAAAUGAUACUGAUAUUCAAUUAAUUUCUUUUUUUUUUAGCAGGAAAGGAAUGGAAUUAAAAAAAAUGAAGAAAGGAGAUGCGAUUUAAAUCCAAAAUCUCUAAAUUUUGAGAUCUCAAAUGUUCAAUUAAUUCCUGCAUUUAUUUUGUCUGUACUCAAUUUAACAUUAAUUGUGACUCAACAGCUGUAGUGCAAUAUCCGUUGCUGUAGAUGUCAUUGAAAUUAAUUAAUUCUCCCAGUGAUCUUAAAACGUUGGCGUUAGCUAUAGAUUAUAUUGUUUGAACGCCUAUGGUUUGGUUUGACCAAGAAUGAAUGCUAAGCAGCGCCAUCGAUGCCUGCGGCAAGUUGUCGCCAGGAAUGGAAUAUCACAGGAAGAGAGCUUUACUUGAUAAACAUCUUGCUGGCUUUGGUGUAAUUAUUUGGCAAGUGGCUUCAGCUUAAUUAUUUGGCAAUAGUCUUGGUGUUUUCCCUCCCCCGUUUCCUCUAUCCCACAUCGAUUGAGAGUGGUGUGUGUGUACUAUUUAAGGUCCUCAGUGUGGCCUGACUUAAGUCAGCAUGCCUUUUGGAUUGGGCUGUGGGUUUCCCUUAAAUAGUGUGCGCGUGUGUUUAAUAGAGGAUAUUGUUAGCGUAAAGUUUCAAGUUCUCAAUCCAAGAAAUCCCAAUAAUCUUGUUCCUGACUUAAUUUAUGUGGUAAUGGUUGGAUUGAUCUUUCCCCUUGUACAUUUUCUUUUGUACCAUAAACUCAUUCUAACUGACGUUCAAAAUAAACUCAUAGUUUACAUAUAACAGCAAAUUUGUGACUCUCUUAUUCUAGUAUGACUGCCAUAUAAGUUCAAAGAACGAUUUGCUCAGAAAAAUCAAACAAAAAAAGGGGUUCAAAGUAGGAUUAAUUUAAGGAUAAUAUGUUCACUCAAAUUUUAGUGCCCUACAUAAGUUUGCUUUCAAUUCUUUUCGUGAAUUGUUAGCUGUUAAAAAAGAGCUUACGUGCUUGAUUUGGAUGUAAUCAAAGGGAGUUUUUCCAAACCGACCAAUUUCAGGUUUUAUAAUUAAUGACCCUCUUUGUAUCAUGUGCUCAAAACUAUGAGCAGCAGAUAUCAUGGUCCAUGCAUAGCGCAUCUUGUACUUGGUCAACGCUAUCAGGGAACUUUUUGGACAUGUAUAACGUUUAUGCAGAAAGAUUGCCACCAAUCACUUAUACGGCGAAAGAACGGAAAUGGAAAAUAAUUUCUUGUAGCCUAAAAAUCGAAAUAAGAAACUUUUGCAAUUCUGUUCUUCUUGAGAGUUUGACAGAUCUCCUCACCAGAUGUUCGCUUCUGACUUCUGAGGCAAUAAUUAAGCCAAGUGCGAUAUAUCUUGAUUGGCAACAAGAUCCCUCCCAACAACACAAUUCAUCAAUUUUCUUCACCCGUUUUUUCAGAAAUAUCUGGGGAAACAGAUCCCAUGCUUUAAAAUCAUAGUUUAGGGAUACCCCCCCGGGGGGGGGGGGUUCUCAUGCAGUUACACCAGAGAGAUUAACCGUCCCAAUUCUGAAACAAUAUACAGCUGAAUAAUUUGAUGAGGCUCUUCUCAGAAGGCUCAAUUGGAUCAAAUUUCACAGGAAUCACCCAUGCAUGCAGUGAGACGGAGUAUAUUAACAGCAUAGCUGUUGCAGUAGUUUUAAAAGAUUUAAGGAACUAUCGACAUAGCAUGCAUCAAACUCGAGCGAGCAUUGAAAAAUAAUCAGUUUACCUAUUCAUGUGGUAGCAAUUCUUCAACAGGAAAAGAACAUUCAGAGCAUGGGAAUAGGAUUGUGUCUGUAUAACCUCACUAGCUAAGAAUGCUAAUUCUUCAUGUCAUGGCAAAAUUUACCUUGUCAGCUACUUCAAGUUGAUAAGCUCUCUAAAGUCUAAAACAUCUGAGAAGGAAAAUGCAUGCUCACGAAUUUUCUGCAUAGUACUACCAGUUAGGAAUGGAAACUCCACAUCAAGCACAAAACUAACUGCCAACGCUCAGAAGGUAAAUAGCCUCUCUCUUGUUGUGCGUGUGUGUGAAAAAGAGUCGCCGUCAAAUCAGAAAAUGGCAGAAGACCAAAGUACACCUCAUAUCAAUAUAGUAACUUCAAUCACAUAUCAUAUCAACUUAGCAAAUAGAGAUAAUACAACAGAAACAUUUUACCAAAUACAGAAAUAACACAGAAAUUAACACAGCACAUACAUGCAGGUUUUGACAGAACUCCAACUGGUACAAACAAAAGUCAUUCUGCAACCAUCACACCUGUUAAGUAGACUUGGCUCUGUAUCACACUGCCUCCAAUCCAAAAUCCUGGCAUAACCAUUAAACCA